ensembl:lncRNA
AUAACAUGGCUUUAUACACGGGGUACCAGUACAUAUAAGCAACAGGUAGCCUAGUGGUUAGAGUGUAGGGGCGGCAGGUAGCCUAGUGGUUAGAGUGUAGGGUCGGCAGGUAGCCUAGUGGUUAGAGUGUAGGGGCGGCAGGUAGCCUAGUGGUUAGAGUGUAGGGGCGGCAGGUAGCCUAGUGGUUAGAGUGUAGGGGCGGCAGGUAGCCUAGUGGUUAGAGUGUAGGUUCGGCAGGUAGCCUAGUGGUUAGAGUGUAGGGGCGGCAGGUAGCCUAGUGGUUAGAGUGUAGGGGCGGCAGGUAGCCUAGUGGUUAGAGUGUAGAGGCGGCAGGUAGCCUAGUGGUUAGAGUGUAGAG